rnacentral:misc_RNA from 1 species
AUGCUAAGCAUGAGCAGAGCAUCUCUGCAAAUGCGUUGCCUCUUCCAAAAACUCUCGGGAACUUUCGGCUGUGGCCAAGCUUAAAGUUUUCGACGUCACAAGUAACCUGAGGACGUUCCUCUUUGAGAGAUGUUCCUCUACCCAUUUUUUUACCAUCAUUACCCUACUUUAAACUUUUAGACUGAUAUAAACAAACAUUUAUUCUUAUAAAUGUGAAAUA